CCAAUCACAUGAAAAAGAAAAGUCUUAACUUCUGGAGGUUCCUACGUAUGAGUAUUUUUUCGUGAGCUUGAUUAGGCUUUCACCUAGCAUUUAAGAUUCAGAGUAUAAACUGUCCUAAGCUGUUCCCAAAUCUAAACAGAUAAGGAUUAGAAAAAUCAACUUCUAUACAUUUGAAGUCAGUUCAGAUCCAGCAGGAGAAUACUGACAUCCAACUGUCUAAGUUCUGCUUCUGAAAGAGCCUGAAGACAAAGGGUAGAGCACUCUCUUCCCAGCAUUCUAUUCCUUUUCUUCAUUUUUAAGCCAAGACAGCCAGCUACUGGGUGCUGUGGAUCUAACCCAGUACCAACUAUCUAUUGAUCCCUCCUGAGGUUCUUCAACCUUCCUCCCUCUUCUCCCAGUGGGACAGAUGAAAGGACAAUGCACGUGGACUCAAAGCCUUUCUUUGUCAACUUGCAGUCUUGUCUACCUUUAGUGGGGAUCCAGACACUUACUACUUUGAAUUUGUCUUCGACCUGGUGUCCUUGGGUCAGCAGAUGUCAACUCCCUUUGGAAAAGUGAGCCAGCAGCUAUGCAAAACACAGAAGCCUGGCAGCAGAGACUGACAGUCAAACUGACACCAGGUUCCUGGGCUGUGUCACCGUGUGGACAAGGUCCGAUUCUGUGGCCAGAAGAGGUGACUUCACACAUCCAAGUGAGACAGAAGGAACCCAGAAAUGGGGCCACUGACUCUUUUAAAACUAUAUCUAGCUCACAAGUUAUUCAAAUAUGUG
ensembl:lncRNA